CUCUUCGUAGCUCAGUUGGUAGAGCAGCUGACUCUUAAUCAGCGGGUCGUGGGUUCGAGUCCCACCGAGGAGAC
rnacentral:tRNA from 1 species